ACAGACCUUCCACCAGUGGCGAGAUGCUAGACAGGUGUAUGGUCUCAACUUUGGCAGCAAAGAGGAUGCCAAUGUCUUCGCAAGUGCCAUGAUGCAUGCCUUAGAAGUGUUAAAUUCACAGGAAACAGGGCCAACAUUGCCUAGACAAAACUCACAACUACCUGCUCAAGUUCAAAAUGGCCCAUCCCAAGAAGAAUUGGAAAUUCAAAGAAGACAACUACAAGAACAGCAACGGCAAAAGGAGCUGGAGCGGGAAAGGCUGGAGCGAGAAAGAAUGGAAAGAGAAAGGUUGGAGAGAGAGAGGUUAGAAAGGGAAAGGCUGGAGAGGGAGCGACUGGAACAAGAACAGCUGGAGAGAGAGAGACAAGAACGGGAACGGCAGGAACGCCUGGAGCGGCAGGAACGCCUGGAGCGGCAGGAACGCCUGGAGCGGCAGGAACGCCUGGAUCGGGAGAGGCAAGAAAGACAAGAACGAGAGAGGCUGGAGAGACUGGAACGGGAGAGGCAAGAAAGGGAGCGACAAGAGCAGUUAGAAAGGGAACAGCUGGAAUGGGAGAGAGAGCGCAGAAUAUCAAGUGCUGCUGCCCCUGCCUCUGUUGAGACUCCUCUAAACUCUGUGCUGGGAGACUCUUCUGCUUCUGAGCCAGGCUUGCAGGCAGCCUCUCAGCCGGCCGAGACUCCAUCCCAACAGGGCAUUGUCUUGGGACCACUUGCACCUCCACCUCCUCCACCACUCCCACCAGGGCCUGCACAGGCUUCAGUAGCCCUCCCUCCUCCCCCAGGGCCCCCUCCACCUCCUCCACUCCCAUCCACCGGGCCUCCACCGCCCCCUCCUCCCCCUCCUCUCCCUAAUCAAGUACCCCCUCCUCCUCCACCACCUCCUGCCCCACCCCUCCCUGCAUCUGGAUUCUUUUUGGCAUCCAUGUCAGAAGACAAUCGCCCUUUAACUGGACUUGCAGCUGCAAUUGCCGGAGCAAAACUUAGGAAAGUGUCACGGAUGGAGGAUACCUCUUUCCCAAGUGGAGGGAAUGCUAUUGGUGUGAACUCCGCCUCAUCUAAAACAGAUACAGGCCGUGGAAAUGGACCCCUUCCUUUAGGGGGUAGUGGUUUAAUGGAAGAAAUGAGUGCCCUGCUGGCCAGGAGGAGAAGAAUUGCUGAAAAGGGAUCAACAAUAG
rnacentral:lncRNA from 1 species